GUCAAAGGAACACUGAGACCUGAUGUAACACUUGUGUGAUUCUCCCCUUUGAAACUUCAAACUCCAGUUUGUGAACAAAGUCCUGUCUAUCUUCUGAAUAGGAAUCUCCGACCACUGACCAAACUCCAUUUGUAACCGCUGCCUAUUUGUACCUUCUCCUCAAUGACUACAUUUCAUUUCCCCAAGUCCGAUCUCAAAGGCAAGCGCCAGGAAGGCAACACAGUAAAAUAACACUCAGGAGCCAGCAGCUGGGAGGAAAAAAAAAGACGAUCAUGGUGGGCUGGAAGAGUUAAUAAGAUGUGGAAUAUAAACUCUCCGGGGACUUAUUUUGUUUCUUUCUGAGAGAGCUACAGCACAGUGGAAAUGUGAGGCACAUCCAGGAGCGUGUUGAUGUUGAUAAGAGCAAAAACAGAAGGAGACAAUGUGCUGCCUGCAGCAGAUUUGAGGCCAGCAGAAAAAGGCUGCUGCAGUAGAUGGAGGAGAUAGAGUAGUUGCAGACCAGCAGUGUUGCUUCUCUCCAGAUGCUGCCAAACACAUGCAUGUUGGAGCAUUUCCUGACAGCACAUCCCACUCUACUGGUGCUCGCCCAAACCAUCUAAGAGAAACCAGCACACAUGUUUUGAUGCUCAUAUGCACAAAGUGAAACCAUACAUACACAAGAGACAAACUCAUCCGAAAACUCUGUUAUCUAUACUCCAGUUAAUCCUCAUUAUGGUCACGGGAAGGUUGGAAUCUAUCCCAGCUGACACAAUGGACAGGUCACCGGUCUAUCACAGGGCUACAUAUAGAGACAAACAAGCUGCUCACAUUCACACCUACAGACAGUUUCUAAUUACCAGUGAACCUCAGCAUGUUUUUGGACUGUGGGAGGAAGCCAGAGAACCCGGAGAAAACCCACACAUGCACAGGGAGAACAUGCAAACUCCAUGCAGAAAGAUCCCAGGAAGGCCGGGAUGCGAACCAGGGAUCUUCUAGCUGCAAGGUGACAGUGCUAACCACCGAGCCCCUGUAAACUUAUUAUGCAAAAAUGUCCACAACAAUAAUCACAUUUCAUCUAACCCUUCUGACAUAACCCUUUUUAACGGCACCAAUCUGUCUCCUCCAUUUACAGCAAUCAUAAAACUGAUGAAUAUUUCAGCCACUUUCUGUUUUUGUAUAAAGAGCUGCUGUAUAAACAGAUGCAGAGUCACUGAAUGAGUGAACUUAGCUCAGGCAGCAUAUUGCUGGCUGCAAAUAAACCGGAGGAUUAUUUUAUUUGUCACUGACAGAUUCCAAAUAACCAAAAUAAAUUGAAUGUUUUUAUGGUUUAGGCUCACCCUCAAACCCACCACUAUUCUGUUCAUCAAAACUGAUGUAUUGGUCCUGCUAGGCAGAGGAUUUUGUUGAGGAAAAGAAAGCCUGGAUAGAGAGAUGUUACGACUGUCAGUGGCAUCUCAUGCAAAAUCCACCACUUUUAUGCAUUUAUUUUUAUUUUGGACAUUAAAUUUCUUAAGGGCAGAAGUAAAUUAAACUAAAUGUAAAUCUCACAAGAGGGAAAGUUCUCUCCUCUCUCAAAAAUGCACUAUAACCACCCUCCUCCACCCAAAUAAUAUUAUAUAGUUCCUAAUAAACUAAUACAAAAUGAUGAAGUUGGGAGAUUUUCAGGGGCUGAUGCCAUUAUUUUUGGGAAAACAAAUACACUGAUGUCCUUUAGUGUUCAGUGUAUAGUAGUAAAUGUGCCUGUUUCAGUGUGUGCAGAACUGUGCAAAAUUUGCUGGUACUUUAGUUUCCUAUCCAUCAUGCAUCACCGUCAAACUAUAUCUGAUCAGACCCAAAGACAUUCUGUGGAAUAACAUAAACUUCAAACAUGACAAUAAAAAUCUUCAGCCACAUGCAGAACAAGGACACCCACACAGGUACUGAGGCCCCAUAGAGCUUUAUAUGUCUGGAUAUCAUGGAGUCAGUCUGAGAUUACACACUGAGACUGUCUGAAUCCACAGAAAAACUGAAGUUCUCCAAGAUGCUGCCCCAACCUACCUGCCAAGUAAAACUAUGUGUUAAAGUCAGAAAGCUGAAAAGUAUUGAUUUCAUUUAGGUUUCUCCAGUUUUCAAGUCUUUGUAUGAUGAAUUUAACUGCCCAUGUCAUUAUUUUUUUCACAUUUUCUGCAUUUUAGGAAACAUCUCCUCAUUAUCAUACAUCGUGUUUAAUUUGAUCUAAGCCGUGACGCAGUCAAUGUACCUGAGUGUAGUGAGAGCACACAGAUCCAGUGCAUCUGUUGGGGUAGGAGAAAUGAUGCCUCUCAUUGUGCCAGGACCUGACCAUAUCUGUGAUGGACUGGUACCUGCCGCAUUAAAUCUCUCAUUAGCAUAUAGUACAUGCAGUACAAAACAGCUCUCUGUUGUAUUUUUCACACAGGGUCCAUCAUCAUUUUAAUCUGUAUUCACUGCAGACUGUAAAUCUGACAGCUCUGCAAAACCUUCCUGAAGUGAUUGACAGGUUCUGGCCCAUAUAUUUCAUGGCUUGUGUCGGCCCGUGAUCCCAAACGCAUCGUGAAGCCCAAGAGUCGGCUGACCUAGCAAGUGCCUCAUCCCACAGCUGUAUAAGUAACAGAGAGAGAGGAUAAGAGAGGGGAUGUUAAUUUCACUCUGCUCAGUAAGAAGAAGAGAAAAAAAAAGCAGUAACAACACCGUCAUUUCUAAGAUAGGAAAACUCUGCAUUCAAAGCAAACUAUGCCGGUGAAUUUGCCCCUGGCAAUUACUAUAUAUUGUCCUUGUGGGUUAUUGUUACCAAUGGCCACACAUGUAAACAGCAUUUUAUUGUAAUUGGUGGUGCUAAUUUCACCUGGAAGAUCUACCACACAUUUCAUGUGCAGACUGUGGAUAACUAUCAUUAACUAGAUGCUACAGAACCAGCAAAUGUAAGAACAACUUCCACUUCCGUUACAAUGCUUUAAAAAAAAGCUGCUCAGUCUGAACUAUUGAUUAUUCUGGCCACACACAUCUACAAGGUUGAUCCCUGGACAAUAAAAUAUAUCUUAUCUUAUCUUAUCUUAUCUUAUCUUAUCUUAUCUUAUCUUAUCUUAUCUUAUCUUAUUUUAAUCUGUUUUAUAUUGUUGGGUGGUUCAAUUGUCUGGUGAACAGUGAACUAAAGCAAAAAAAAAAAAAAUUAAUAAAAUUUAAAUAAAAGUAGAUGUUCAAUUAAUGUAGUGGAGUCAAAUAUAACAUUUCCCUCUCAAAUGGGGUGAACUACAUGUUCAAAGCAACACAAAGUACCUCAAAGUUGGAUUUAGCCUGAUUUAGCAUAAUGUGGUUUUAUGCUAAGACAUCCUAAAAUUAUGAAUGUGGUUUUCUUGAAAUCAUCUUAAUUGGAUGGGUGUCAUUGUCGUUGCAUGUUUGUUGCACUGUUUUCUUGUUGUUUGGGUGUGUUACCCCUUAAUGCAAUAUUGUGUUUUUCUUUGUAGCAGCCGUAUCUUUUGCAUUCUUUUUCUGUAGAAUCCUGCCUCACUUGCACCACGUAUAACUGUAGAAAAAAUAAAUCACAUUGUGGAGAGUACCAUGUGUGUCUGGUCUGAUGCACCUUCCAGCAUCUCACCAUGUACUCCAUAUCAGCAGCAGGCGGGGAGACCUGAGAGCGAACUCGGUUGUGGUAAUCCAGCAGGGCGUUCAAGUCUCUGGCUGAAAUGGCUCGCCUACGUCUGCUGCGAGACACACCCUCAGCUCCACUGAACAUCCUCAAGUCAGACUGUAUCUCAGCUGCGGCUCUGGUCGUGUUGAGCAGCUCUGUGGAGUCUGACAGCACAGCAGCAGCAGCUCCCAUGUGAGGCAUCGUCCACAGGGUGGCAGCCAACAGGAGCUGAACAGCAGCAGCAGCAGCAGCCAUUUGAGCCCUGAGGAGGAGGCAGUGAGGACAAUCAGUGAAGGAAGCUCCAUGUAAAUGACUAAUUUGGUGCAGAUUUCAGCUUAAUUAACCUCAUAACAAGCAGUUCCCCAGUUUUUACAUAAGCAGUGUCCAUAAAUCACAUUUUAUGAGGAGCUAAAAGCUCAUAUUGUCAGUUAGCAAUAAGAUGAUUAACAUUGUUUUUUGUUUUGUUUUUGUUGUUGGUCUUCUGAUAUUAAACAAAAAAAAUCUCAGUGAGUAUAUAGCACUCAAGAAGUAAUUACAUAAUCCUGCAAAUUUUCCUGCAUAAAAUAACAAGAAAACAUGAGAAAUUUCCAAUAUACAGUCACAAUGUACCGAAAA